UUUUACUUGUGUGACAGAAAUUGUUUGCAAAUAGCUUUAGAUAAAACUCCUACUUGUCUCCAUCAUGGCAAAGAACCUUCUGUCAAUCUUUAAUGUGGUGGCCAGGUUAAAUUCCAAACCAUUUUCCCAGGAGAUGGAGGGAAUAGAUUCACUCUUUGUCAAUAUUCUUGACUAUUGAGUAGAAUUAAUGACAUACUGGUGUC